rnacentral:tRNA from 1 species
AAGUGGAAAGCAAAAAUUUGCAGUUAGUUUCGACCUAAAAGUUUGAUGGUUACAUCUCUACUUA